rnacentral:rRNA from 1 species
CUACGGGGUGCAGCAGUGAGGAAUAUUGCACAAUGGGGGGAACCCUGAUACAGCAACGCCGCGUGGAGGAUGACGCAUUUCGGUGUGUAAACUCCUUUUAUAUGUCAAGAAAAUGACGGUAGCAUAUGAAUAAGCACCGGCUAACUCCGUGCCAGCAGCCGCGGUAAUACGGAGGAUGCAAGCGUUACUCGGAAUCACUGGGCGUAAAGGACGCGUAGGCGGGUUGGAAAGUCAGGUGUGAAAUCCUACAGCUUAACUGUAGAACUGCACUUGAAACUUCUAAUCUAGAGUAUGGGAGGGGGAGAUGGAAUUAGCGGUGUAGGGGUAAAAUCCGUAGAUAUCACUAGGAAUACCUAAAGCGAAGGCGAUCUCCUGGAACAUUACUGACGCUAAGGCGUGAAAGCGUGGGGAGCAAACAGGAUUAGAUACCCUCGUAGUC